GACGAACCGUGCGAACGUUGUUCGGAAUCACUGGGCUUAAAGGGCGCGUAGGCGGUUGGUCAAGUCAGGGGUGAAAUCUUUCGGCUCAACCGGAAACUGCCUUUGAUACUGACUGGCUGGAGGGAGAUAGGGUUGCGGGAACUACCAGUGGAGCGGUGAAAUGCGUUGAUAUUGGUAGGAACGCCGGUGGCGAAAGCGGCGUGCUGGACACCUUCUGACGCUGAGGCGCGAAAGCCAGGGGAGCCGAACGGG
rnacentral:rRNA from 1 species